UCCAAAGGGUGUACGUUGCAUAAGGCU
rnacentral:piRNA from 1 species